rnacentral:rRNA from 1 species
GAGCCUACGGGACGCAGCAGUGAGGAAUAUUGGUCAAUGGCCGGAAGGCUGAACCAGCCAAGCCGCGUGAGGGAGGAAGGCGCAGAGCGUCGCAGGCCUCUUUUGCCGGGGGACAAAAGGCCGGACUCGUCCGGUCCUGAGGGUACCCGGAGAAAAAGCAUCGGCUAACUCCGUGCCAGCAGCCGCGGUAAUACGGAGGAUGCGAGCGUUAUCCGGAUUUAUUGGGUUUAAAGGGUGCGUAGGCGGGUUAUCAAGUCAGCGGUAAAAUCGUGGAGCUCAACUCCAUCCAGCCGUUGAAACUGAUG